GCUGCUGCGGUGCCACCGCCGGGCCCUACGGGAACAGCUCUGGGCUGUUGAGACCCUCCUGGAGCCCACCAGGUUCCCCCCCCAAUCUGGGGGGGGCCAAUAAAGCAAUGAAACCCCAAA